rnacentral:hammerhead_ribozyme from 1 species
AUCCAGCUGACGAGUUUCAAAUAGGACGAAUUGACGGGCCUUCUGGAU